UACGGGGGAUGCAAGCGUUAUCCGGAUUUAUUGGGUUUAAAGGGUGCGUAGGCUGUGAGGUAAGUCAGCGGUGAAAUGCCCCCGCUCAACGGGGUGAAGUGCCAUUGAUACUGUUCGGCUAGAGAGUAGUUGCGGUAGGCGGAAUGUAUGGUGUAGCGGUGAAAUGCUUAGAGAUCAUACAGAACACCGAUUGCGAAGGCAGCCUGCUGGACUGUAACUGACGCUGAUGCUCGAAAGUGUGGGUAUCAAACAGG
rnacentral:rRNA from 1 species